CCUCUGGGUUCAAAUGACAACAAAUAAAUAGUAUUGUAUUGUAUUGAGAUGCGUUUUUAUGUUGUUGAUCACCUUUCACCUGUAUCUGAAACAUUAAAUUUUUACGAUACUGUUGCACAUUAUGUUAGGGUGUUAAAACAGGAGUUGCACAUUGUGUUAUGGAGUAAUACAGCUGCUAUGACAAGAGGUACCAUUGUCUGAUACCGAGGCACCACAGGAUAUUAGCCCCGAUCAUUGGUAUGUCUAUUCUUUGAUUAAAAACUGAAAAACAA